GCUCUAUCUCAUCAGUCUGGUGCACACAUCUUUCCAGAAGGGAUUAAAUGUGCCUUGUCUCCUGUGGUCAUAUUAAAGGGCAGAGAGGAGGCAAGGAGCCUUUUACUUCUGGGAGUGUUUUGCCUGGGGUAUUUGCUGCUGGGACAGAGGGAGGAAACAGCAGCCAAACCUCACUGCUGUCCCCAAGGCUAAUGCAGGAGAGCUCUGUGGUGACACCUGAGCCUUGCUUCCCCUGUGCACAGGGCCAAAUCAGCAGGAGAGGGGUGCAGGAAUAGUGUUGGGAAGGGUGAGACUGACUGAGUGCCCAGCAUCCCCACCACGGGCAUGGUUUUGCUUUACUCAGGAUUGCUGAGCUAAGGACACACCACCCUGAGAUGUGUUGUGCAAAAGCCUAAUUUCACCCCUGGGACAAGCCAGUGUCUUUUUCUCCCUUUUCUGUACAUGUUCCUCUUAGUAGAUCAGCCAAAAUCUUCCGCUGUCACUAAAACCGAUGGGUUUUUUGUGUAAAAUGAGAUUUUUGUACUCAUUCAGGCCAGGUCUGGCUGCUCUGCCAGUAGAUGUCCCUGCGUGCCUGGCUGUGGUGGAUGUGCUCUGUCUUUUCCUGGGAAAACUGACUUCUAACACACUGAACUUCACAUCAUCCCUGUUGGGUAUUUUUCAUAUGAAUUUUAAUUUUUUUUUUCUCUCAUUUGGGCUUCUGGUGUAAAGUUUAAUCGAUCUCCACAAAUCUAAAAGCUGAACUUAAAAGGAAAGAUCAUUAUUUUAUUGCAAAGCCACCUUUUUACAACCUUUAAAUAUUUUUGUGUUUGUUUAUAAAACAGAGUACUGACACCAGACCAAGUCCGUGAACCUCUUUACCCUGCUCUGUCCUUCACUCCUGUUCUACAUCAUGCAUUCAAAUAACUUCCACAUUUUUUUGCCUUCCUUGGAUUGCAGCAUUUUCUUGAAGCAGAUACUGCUUUGGUGUGCUGAAUUGAACAAAACAAGAUAAAAUGAAACCAAAUAGUGCUGAGCACCAGAUCCUCAGUGCUUGGUUGGAGCCACUUGGCAAUUUUACAGAUGCUGAGAGUCUCAACCUUCAGCCUGUAAGGUGUUUCCUGUAAUAUGAGAAUUUAUCAGUUGGCUUUCAGAACCACAUAGUCAUUGUUAUUCCAGGCCAAAGCUUAAACUCAAAAUCAGAGCUGCGAGGACUUAGCAUGAGCUUCCAGAGGUCAAAUCCUGCAGCCUUUAGCCAGGCAAACUAAACCUCUGGGUUGGUAGGAUUUUGUCUACGCGAGGACUGUGGUGUCUGCAGAGCAUGAGUCAAGCACGAGUCAGGCUCCUGCAGGAGGGAAGGCACUGAAGGGUAUUUCCACCCAUCCUUGCAGCCCUGCUCUCCCUGGGAGUGAUGAAGAGUGACAGUGGAACAAGAGCCGCCCAUCUCAGCUGUCAAGGGCCUCACCAGGAACGAGAAGCUCGAUCUCAGGGUGCCGAGGAUCUCAACCUUAUCAAACACGGCAUCCCUCUGGGUGGAGCUGUGGGAAUCCGAGGGAAAUGUCCUCUGCCAUCUGCAUGGGGAGCUGUGUCAUCCUAUUUUCCAAGGAGUAAAAGUUCACCCCAACAUGUGUUGCAUGGGAGGCGCGUCUUUGGGAGGAAAGGGCGCGGUGACGGGAGGUACUGGGAGUGGUGAAGCGUUCUCAGCGAUUUUUUUUUCUGCCUUGCACCCAAAUGUUUCUGUGCCUUGCAAAUUGGGGGGGGGGUCAGGUGUUGAAGCUCUCAUGGUUUUUACAGCUCACAGGUCCUCCACUGUGUUUCUAAUAAAGCCAUCAAGAGCACAACCGGGAGCUCCCAGCACGAUCUUACGCAAUAUAAGUCAGCGCUUCAGAGGACUCUCUUGACUCGGGGCUGGAUGCACUCAAAAAUCUUCCAAGUUAUUCUCUCCUAAUUCAAGUCAGCUGAGGCAUCAAAAUGUCGGGCAGAUGGACAAGAUCCCUUGUCAGAAAACAGCCAGCCUGUUUUCUGCUGUUACUCUUGUUACAGUCAAAACUUAGAGUCUUUUAUUGUAACUGGUUUUUAUUUAAUCAGUGAUAUUUUGAGAACUUAACAUUUACAUAAGUAUACUAAAGGAGAUUCCUAUGUGCUUUCUAGUGUAAAACACUGUGCUCUAAGAAUACCCUAAACUGGAUCAAACAGUGUUUUUAUCUUAAAACCAUAGUUUUCCUUCAUUUCUUUCCUUUUCUUUCUCUUCAUAUGGCUAUUAAGAAUUAUUUGAUUUAUAGACAGUGCUUAAGGACAGUCACUACUGCAUUUCCUUGGUCAAGAAAGAGAAAGGAUUUUCUUGUCAGUCGUAUUUUCUGACUUACUAACUUCAAUUGUGCUUCAUGUUAGGGAGACACAAGAGAACAGAUAAAUAAGUGAAGUACGGCCCAAGUUCAUACUUUCGUUUUUAUUUUUGCAGUGAUUUAAAUAGUUGGGAAGAUCUCCUGCCUCUGCCUCUCUCCUCCAGUGGAUGGCAGUUGAGUACCACGGAACGGAGCAGAGCUGACUUGCACCUCGUUGUACCUCUCUCAAGGAGGCAACCGCUGAUUGGAAUUAGCUGUUCUUUGCCUGUGUGAAAUAUCACUCAGAAAUACCUGAAGAAUUAGAAAAGGAAGAAAUGGAACGCGUUUUCAAUUUAAACUGCUUUGUUACUAGAGCAGGAGCAGAUCUAAAAGUUUCCUUCAGCAGCUGAGGGGGGAAAAAAGGAGUCUUAUAUCCAUAUACACAAGUUUCAAGUGUUUCCUUUUUAUAUGUUAAUCUGAAUUUUCCGUAUAUGGGUGCUAAUGAAAAAAAGUUCCUGAUUUUCAUUUUGUUUCCUGACCUCCACAGUCUUUAGAUUUUAAUACUAUACUCAUAAUUUCAGCACGAAGAAUAAUUUUUAAAGGCAAAUUUUCCUUUCUUGAAGUCUCAGCUGUACCAGAAAGAAUGGGACAACUCCCAGGGACUGGGAUUGCCAUGUGAAUUUAGUCAUCAUUGAAACUGUGACUGGUUUUGAAAUAUUCCCCUAAAAGAAAAGUUUAAAACAAACAUUCCAAUCAGAAACAGAAACCUAACCACGUUCCUCUUAAAAACAGGUCUCCUUCAACUCCUCCAGUUUAUAGCACAUACCCUUGGGCUAUUGCAGUCUAGAAAAAUCUGAAAUAAAACCACGCUGUUUUCUGGGUCUGAUCAUGCAUCACUCGCUCAAAAAGAAGUUUAGGGCCUCCUGAGACAUACAAGGUUUAGGCCUUCUUGACACAUGUUGCUUCUUUUUAAAGAAAACAGUCUAGUGCACCUUUAUGUUAAAUACAUCAUUUUAGUUUUCUUCCCUUUAUAAGGAGUCACAGAUGGAUUGAAACAGAAAGCUUUAAAAAAUAUUUGCAAUUCCAGUUGUAUACAAAUAACAUUGUGGCCAGUAUCCUAGUUGUUUUAAUAGAAGUUAUUUACUUUUCAAAUUUUAUUUGCUUCUCCAACUAGUCUCAUGCUGUUGUAGUAUAAGAUCAGACAUAAAUAACUGUUUACACCAAAAAUUAAGUUUCUGUAAGUAACUAUUUUAAAACAUUUCCUUUUAUGUUUACUGCUGAAGGAUCUCGAGCACUCCUGCCAGAAAGGAAAGUAUUUAUUAUCUCUCUUUUACAGAUGAGGAAACUGAGACACUGUGAAAUUAAAAGCUUUGGGAAAUUAGUGCACAGUAAAUUACGGUGUGAAUUUACUGUGUACCAACCACCCCGCACGAACUCAUCAUGUGGACUGGCAAAGAAAAAGGAUUAAACUCCCUUAAACUAUCUCACAUUUGCCAUGGACAGACAGUUGCCAUGGAUCAGCUGACACACAGAACUUCUCAACCCACACUGGUUUACCUAAAAAUCACAGAAGGAAAUCUCUGGCAGGACUAAGACUCGAGUAUCCUCGCAGCCUUGAAAAGAAGUAGAGUUAAAAACAAAGUAUUGGAGGGGAUAAACUUUUUUUUUGAAGGACGGAGCAGCUGCAGGGGCUGAACUUCUGAGCAUAAAUAUACAGAAAUGAACACCUUCAUAACAUCCACUCAUUUCCAGAGUGUUACAAUAUAAAAUACAAUGGGAUCAGGACACUAUUUACUUCAAUCCCUCUCACCCCAAAGGCAUCAUGGUCUCCUUGCUGACAGCAAGAAGCAGUCUACUGUGUCCCUUGCUGAUGUGCCUCCUCUGAAGGAAUCAGGAGCAAUGGUGACUCUUGUGGAGAUGGUCACUGCUGGAGCUGGAGGAGGAGAUGGAUUCCAAGGGAAAGUCUGUGGCUGUUUCCAGAAAUGAGCAAGAGGUGCAGCACGAGCCCUGUGACAGGGACAGCCCAGGCUGCUGUGUCUGAUGAGGAGAGGAAGGUCUGCACACACCUGGGAGGCUGGCAAAGGAGAAAGGUAAUUAAGCUGGACUCAUAGACAUUUAGUUUUUAAUUUUAAGAAAGAGCUUUCCCGUGACAAUGGAGUGCACAGUUUCAAGAUGAAAUUCAGCCCAGGAAAGACCUAUGGACUGGCACAGAAAAUGUGAAAUACCACAUGAGCUCUGCUAAUGGGUCAGUACAGCUGUAAGAAGUCAAUGCAGUAUCAGCCGAUACCUGGGAGAAGAAAACCAGGAACACAUUUCUCUCUGCAGAGCAAUUCCAGCACACCUUAAGCCUCUGAACAACGCUGGCAUGAGAUCCUAAUGCACAAGAACUACAUGAAAAUGAAACAAUUUGCCAUUACCAUUUUUACAAACACCUGGAUGCAUUGCCUGAGUGCAGAGAAGUUUGGCCAGGGUCAUGGAUAUUCUCUUCCUGAGACUGGGAUAUUCAACAGAGGACAGUACAGCUGCUGGCAUCACAUCAACCACCCAUGGCUUAUGGUGAGUUUCAGCUCAAUAACACCUUCACUGCAAAGAAUUGAGAGGUUCCCUAAAUGCCAGCCAGGUACAAAUCUUCACAGAGUGUGAGUGACAGGGCAGCUUGAUGUUUAUGAAGGAAGAUUUUGUCUUGAAGCUUGGAUGGGUGAGUCGGUGUAAAUUACAAAUGACUUUUUUUUUUUUUACCUCAGAAUCUAUUAUAGACUAUUUUAAAAAUUAAUAUUAUUGCUUUAGAGACUACCAUCUGGUAGCUUUCAGCUAUCAACUCUGCAAGGCUCAGGCAGGUUAGACCUGAGGAAGCACAAAAUUACUUUUGUGCUUGAUGUUCAUCUUACACCAAGGUUGUGGAGGCUUUUGGUCAGGCACUGCCUUUGUUUGUUUUCUUUGUUUUUGUGCAGCUAGGUAACAUAGCUGGGCCCAGCUCCACAGAGGGUGUCUUGGGCAUGACUGCACUGCAACCCAAAAAUCAUUACAACCAGACAAUCAGCUCUCAGAGCAUGCCAGGGUCUGCUUUUCCUUUGAAAGGGAGUUGAAGCACUUGUGGAGGUUUAAUCGAAAUCUGAAUACAUGUGACUGAAAUUGGCUCCCUGUGAUUAUUUAUACAAGUAAAUCUCUGCUUCUCACAAGUUCCCAGAAAUCAAAUGCCAGACUUGUAUGAUCAUUUUUUAAAAAAGAAGUAAAUAUUUGUUGAAAAUUCUUUGCUGUAUUAAUUUUCCUCUGCCUUCUCUCAGGCAGCCCUGAUAGCAAUGGAGAGACUCCUGGUGUGCAUCAAUCAGCCUAGAGAAGAGGGACCAAAAUAGCUGAUUACUGUAUCUGUAGUGUCUUAUCCUCAGAACAAAACCAAAUUUUCAGUUAGCUUUUAGAAUGGCUCGUUUUCCUCAUCCAUCUGCAUGCCCAGCUAAAAUCUUCCAGGAAAUAUUUCAACAGUAGGUAUGUCAGGUACAGGUAUUUUAAGGAGGAGGUAGUUUAAGCCAAGGGCUGCAUAUUUCCAUGUUUUCCUGACCCCUAGUCAAAAACCCAUCUGCCACUAAGUGGUUUAUAACUUAACAGUCAGCCACCACUAUUUUUUAAAGUGUUCUAUAGUGUUUAUAAUGCCAGUCCCUGUUGCUAACCCUUUUUUUUUUCUUUAACUUUCUUUACUUUCUUUUUUUUUUUGUUGUGGUAACCCUUUUACCUUCUUUUUCCCUGCUCAGACCCAUUAGCAGGAUGUUGUGCAAUAUGGUGCUUGUCAUCUGUUUCAAAGACACAGUGAUGAGAUACAGGUAUGCCAGAUGGAUAAACCUAGUGUGACUAAUUAUUGUGUAUUUGCCUUUAAUUAUUAUCAUUUAUUACCAGAGAAAAGACAAUAGAGGUUCCCAGACUCAGAAGGGAAUGUCGGCAGAAGGGGAAUUUUUGUCUUUUUGGUUUUUUUUUUUCUUUUUUUCUUUUCAAGAGACUGGCAUAUCAGCAAGAAAAGUUUUCUUCUUGGAGAGAAAUACUGCAAAACAUCUGAGACAAGAGGAGACAACAUGACCCAGGGAAUACUUUCCUUUCCCUGGCACAUACUUGAGGAUCAGAUCUCUCACAGGUGCCUGCUGAGGACAGACACUUCACUCAACUCAGAACUCAUCCUGGCUUGCCGGAGGAUUUUGAAAGAGUCUAGAAGGUUGACAGUGAUCUGAGCCUUGGUUUUAAUACUGUCUUGACACUCUGAAGGUUUUAAUGGACAAUGAGUCACUAUGGAGGCAACGAGGAGCAAUAAGCAGAUGGAUUUCUGCUGGUGCAGCCAGAUCUCUGCUACCUGUUUUCCUUGUCCAAAGUGUUUUAAAUAGGUCAUGGAGGUCUCUUAUGCUGGUCAUUCCCAACCAGUGGGUUUGUCCUGAAGCUGGUAAAGAUUAGAACAAACAAUAUAUCUUGUUAAAUGAGUCACCACUAGUCCUUUGUUACCUUUUACUGUUUGUUUGAACUUACUUUCCAUCACAAUCUAAAGGCUUUUCCCAUCUCCUUUUCCAGUGGAGGGUUUGUGCUGCUUAUUGCCUCUUUCUUCCCUUCAAUUAUGCGAGCCAUGCAAGCAUUUCCCCUUGAACACUUUCCAGCUCCCCCACCCCGUACCUCACCCACUCUGUGUCCUCCCCCUCGUUUGCACAGCUCCCUUCUCCACUGUGUUUCCUGCACUGCCUCCACUGAUUGCACUUAGCAUGGAUGUGGUGGGGAAGGGAGGGUGGAAAGGGAGAAAGUGGAGAGAGGACUUCUGAGGAAUCUGUGCCAGUUUCGAACUGGAGGCUCAAUCUGCAUAUGGGAAAGAUGGAAGAUGUAAAAUAGGCAGCAGAAGGAAGGGGAGAGAGGAACAGAUUCAAGACCAGGUCCAGAGUUACCAGAGACAGCCUCAGGGCAGGAGCAUGUUGGUUGUCACCUUUUUAGAGGGAGCAAGGAAGCACCUGGAAGCUGCAGAGGUGAGAUCCUGGGAGAUCCAGUCCCUGCUCUCCACGUGAUGCAAAAUUCAGAGGGUGAGGCUUGUGGAGCUCUCCCUGCCACCUCUCCUGGCAAAAGGUUAUUCAGCAUGUGGGAGAGGUUGUUUUGUUUCUUCCUUAUUGUUCCACACCCCUUGACCACUCACUCUACUACAAUUGCUUGUCUAAAGCACAGUUCACUGCCUCUGUCCCCACUCCCAUUUCAAAACCUCAGGAAAAAGGACACUGACACCACAGAAGCAAUGAGCUGCACGUCGGGGCCUUUCUUGCAGGCUGGGGAUGAAAUCUGCCUGGAGGACUUGCAAAAUUCAGUCCCUGCUCUCCCCACGGUGAGAUGUGGAUGUAAACAUUGCCACUUUCUCAGAACAGCUUUUAAGAGUGAGUAUUUGUCUCAGAAAGAACAAACACACGCCAUCAAACAACAACCCAGCCAACAAACAAGCCCUCAGAGACCGGUAGCUCCCAAAAAUCAGCACUCUCUGAAACUUCACUCAUUUGGAUUCAAAGGUACCUGGAUGCAGAACACUUGAGCUGGAGAAACUGCACAUCUGUGGCGUGGGUUUAUUUAUUUAUUUACCUGUUUUCCAAUCUUGCACCUGCCUACUUUAGCUGAUCUCUAGCUAUCAAAUUGUGAUGGAGCAAAAGUAAUAAAAUGCCUGUAGGAUAGAAAAACCCUGCCUGAAGUUCUCCCAUAGCUCAACCAGACCUAGAAGACGCACAAUUCAAUUAAAAGAAAUAUAAAGUUAUUCUCUCCUCACCUUGCCAUUUUCCCCUUCUCUUCUGUGCAUUUCAUACAUCCAUAGAUAUAUAUAUAUAAAAAUAAAUGCACACAUACACACACGCACACACGCACAAACCCACCCCUCCCCUUCCCAAUCCUUCCUUUAAGGUUUAAUUUAACAAUAACAUUUGCGAUCGGGGUCCUGAGCAUCUCAAGGGCAUUGCGCUUGAAAUUGCACACACUCCGCACCAUUUAUCAUAGCCUGACAUGUGUCAUGUUCCAGACUGCAGCUCCAAGAGGUUACAGCUCACGACUGCUCCUUUGUUGAUCAGCUGCCGAGACAACUGAGGCACCUUUCUUUCUUUUUUUCUUUCUUUUCCUUCUUUCUAUUUUUUUUUAUUAUUAAAGCUGCACCAUCCUCUUUUCAUAGGGUUUGUUCUGACACAAUGGAAAAAGAAAAUGAAUUCUUCUCUGCUCUGUCCAGUUCCCCCUCCAGAUCUUCAUCGACCCAGAUUCUGAUCACAUUUUAUUUGGGUUCAACAGCAAAGCUUUGGCUGGUUAAUAUUACUGCUUAAUACUGGAUGGGAGAGGGAUAAACUGUUUCCAAGGUAGUUCUGUGCUUGAGAAGAAGAACAGGGUGUAUAAGUGCUGAGGAUAUUGGGCACAGUGCUGAGGCAGCCCAAAAGUGUUUUUCUGUGGCAGCAUCCAGGCUUGCCAGGCCAGUGAGUUCCUUCCAUUGCUGAACUUCAGGGAAACAAAUAUCCUCCUCUCCAGAGCUUCUAUUUCAUUUACUCCACCUCUCCCCUUUCACUUCCUUGGUGCCUUGCAGAUUUCUUGCUGCAUGCAGAGCACCCGAGACCUGCGUGUAUCUUUGCAGGAAUGAUGCAUACAGAAAUUCAGCAAACCAGGCUGUUUAUAAACAGGAGCCACUGAAUUGCAUUCAUAAAUCACUUGUAGAUCCUACGUUUGCCAGUCUUCAUCCUGCCAAUCAACAUUUGUACAGGGUAUGGGUACAGGUGUCAUUGCAACUUAAUGUGUAAAGGAUGCAAGGUACUACUGAUAGCAGGGAGAGGAGCCUGAACACUGGUCUAAGAUCUGAACAAAAGCAGAUUUUGUAUUGUUCCUCAUUCUCAAGAAUGUUGAUGUAUCAAGUGAGCUACUAAUUUAUUUUUUAACUAUUUAUAAUGAAGAGUUCUUGAAAUGCUGAACUGGAGCAAAUCUCUUCAUUUCCUCUCCCUGUUUUCAUGUUCUGCUCUGUCCUGGAAGACCUCAGGCCUGAAGGUUGAGAUCCCAAAGCCUGUCAGUGUUUUGGAAUGAUACUUGAUCUUUCAGAUUCCUGUUCCCCUGUGAGCUCCAAACCACGCAACGUUCAUCACCACCUGUUAGCAUCAAGCACAGCCUCUGCCGACACAGUUGGAGUUGUCUUACUUUCUCUCACACUCUCAGCUCUUGGUGGAUAUUUUCGGAGGUUUCCUCGGUUUAGAGGCACUUGAUUAAUCAGUAGUGCCAGAUGGGAUGUCUCAACUAUUACCACCAUGUAUGUGUCACACGCCUAUUGGAUUCACAAACAGAGGGUUUUCUUGCCGUUGGCCAGCAAGGUUUUGCACUUUAUCCUUCAUUAUAUGUUUUUUGCCCAUGUCAGACCUCGUUGCCUUCCCUCUAGAAGUCUGAUCUGAACAGCUUCUUGCUGCCUGAAGGAUGCCUUGUUUUCCCCCUGUUUCUCAAGGAGAGAAAAUCUCAGUUUUGUGUCUGUAGCUGGGUAGCCCCACACUCACAGCAUCCUCUCUGAGCUGCCCCAGGGCUCAGCACAGAGCAUGGUCCCCACUGCCCGUGAUGCAUUUCUCCCUUGCAUCACUGCUAGCAAUGGUGACCUUGGCUUGUGCUUGAUCCCUGCCCUCCCCCUUUGCCAGCAUCCAGGCACCUGCCUGGCCCUGCAGGAGGAAGCAGUGCCACCAGCUGGGAUGGCGUGGGCCAGCUUCCAGCCACAUCCCUCUGCCUGUCCUGGGGAGAGCAGCCACCUGCACAGCCCCAC